rnacentral:rRNA from 1 species
AGUGAACGCUGGCGGUAGGCCUAAUACAUGCAAGUCGAACGGAAGCACAGUAAGCGUUCGCCCUUACCGUUGGCGAGUGACGGGCGGGUAAGGCAUACAUCACCUACUUAUAUUUCGUGGGGGACUACGUAGGGCCGCUUCCGCUACUACCGCAUAUGUUGUACCGGAUAAAUCAGUAGUUAAUGGGGGCUUUCGUGUCACUAAGAGCUGAUGCCGCAUUAGCUAGUUGGCGUGGUAAAGGCACACCAAGGCAACGAUGCGUAGCUGAUCUGAGAGGAUGAUCGGCCACACUGGAACUGAGACACGGUCCAGACUCCUACGGGAGGCAGCAGUAGGGAAUAUUCGGCAAUGGGCGAAAGCUUGACGGAGCAAUGCCGCGUGAGUGAUGAAGGUCUUCGGAUCGUAAAACUCUGUUAUUGGGGAAGAAAAGCUGUAUAAGUAACCCCCCCUGUUCUGACGGUACCCAAAGAGUAAGCAACGGCUAACUUCGUG